rnacentral:lncRNA from 1 species
CCAACACAUUUUUCCAGAGGAAAUUAGAUACAUUGCUUAGUUAAAGCUGUGCCAAGGAGGAAAUGUUUCUAUAAAUACUUACCAACUCAUCUGGAGAGAUGAUAAGUGCUGGUGUGUCCUUCACAAUGUCAUGUUAGUUGCUGAGUCUGGUUUAAAAUUCAGUUGUUUAUGUUCCUGGGAGAAAAAAACCCCGAUGGUUCUAAAGUGAGGAACAAAGUAUAUGCAAAAAAUCAGUCCUGAACUCUGAAACCUUGAAUCUAAGGGCUUUUUUUUUUUCUUUUCUAUUAGAUUCAGUAGGGAAUAAAUUGCCAGCCAGGCUAACAUAGUGUGCUUGCUUACCUGGCGCUGGAGGACAAAGUGACACAUGGUGGCAGCCAGGGUGUGUGUGCCACAGUGCAGUGAUGGAGCAGUGUCUGUGCCCAGCCCUGGCAUGCCCUGUGUCCUGCAUCCUGUGUCCCACUCAGCAGGAGGAGGCACCGUCCUGCCCACGACUGCAGCACCCUGACAACAGGGAUGGACCCCAGAGCGAGCUGCAGCGCCGAGACACGUGGGAGGUGUCGCACACGGUUUGCUCAUCACCCGUUUGCUGCAGAGGCAGCUCGUCGCUUCUCCCUGCAAUGAAAGAGAAGGACAAGGGCACCUCAGAGACAUCAAAGCACAGCAUCCUCUGGGAAAAGGAGAGAUAA